UUUUGACCUCAGGUCAAGC
rnacentral:rRNA from 5 species